ensembl:lncRNA
GUUCUGAGCUGGACCAGGCGUGCUGAUACGGAUACUGGUGGGGGCCAUUGAGGAUCCCAUCCAGGACGUCACAGUCAUUACAUCUAGUCGUCAAGUUUCUUUAGGUUCUUCUUGGCUGUGACAGUUUCUCAGACUUUCCUUGUUUUUAAAGACGACAUUUUGAGGCGUACUGGUCAGUUCUUUCAACAAUCCUUUUUCAAUAAACAAGCGUGAAGUUCCUGUUUCCUUUUGCUUUCAACAAAGAAGAGAAAAGAAGCAGACACAACAAAGUAAAUUCAAAAGAUACAGACCCCUAGGAGAAGGAAGAAGGGGUUUCACAUCUUCCUUUCCAUGUAGUUCCCAGGAGGGAAAGUUCCUUCCAUGUCACCUUGCAAAGAGAGGAUAGCCAUCCAGCACAUCUGUGUCCUCCAGAAAUGGGUCAAACUCUGGCACCAAUAAAGAGAAGGAUCAAAGGAGUCCAGGGAAAGUCUUGGGUGAAGGUGGAAUUAUCCACAAGCCCCUCAAGAUAUCAAGAUACCAUUGUGAACGUUGCCAGUGCUUGUAAAGCGGCCUGUGGAUCUUUCAAUAAAGCAGCAUCAAGUAAGAGGCAGUGCCCGUCAUUUCCUAGAAGCGCUGGAAGUAUGUUGGUGGGACCACCUUGCCAAGAAGGGGACUCAGCAAAGUGUGUGGUCUGAAAGGCACCAAUAAAUGGAUAGAGGGAAAGAGAGCCAG